UAAACGGGCACCCUACAGCCAAUCAGAAUCGAGUAUUCCCCCAGACCAUGGUAUAAAUGUCUGUAAACCAUAUCUAAUCUUACUCAAACUCAAACAACUCUGGAGAGACGUGUGGUGUGCUGUGAGCAGCAUAUACUACAGUGUGCAGUGAGUCCAGAAAAGCACUUAUCUGAACAGAGGGAUGUAUUCUGAAGCAAGUUCAACACAGCCAGAAGCUGCACUUGACAAGACAGCGGGCAGUAAUUAAGUAGCAGUGGACCGCCACAUAAUGUACGUACCAGGAAUCACUGCAGGAAAGAACAAAAACAGAGUGCCGGUCUGCUGUCAGCUACCAUGAAAUAGCUAUUUUACAAACAUUUACCCGCCAGUGUGGCAGAUAGCCUUCCGACAUUUAGUCGCCACAUGGAUAAGCUCCCUGCAUUUGGUGCUUGUUAAUUUUCAGCCCUGGAAGAUGGUCAGAAUUGUCUAGCAACACUGAAUUAAUAACUACAGUUUUAACUUGUUUAAAAAAAAGUCCAUUUCAGAUGUGUCACACAAUGUGAAGUCAUGCUGUA